rnacentral:lncRNA from 1 species
ACACCGGUAAGAGAUCUUUUUUUGCAGAUAUGUAGCAGGUGAUUUCGGCACAGUGAGAAUGGGUAAUACAAGUUACUCAAAGAUUGCGGGGAUUGGUGACAUUUGUAUCAAGACAAAUGUCGGAUGCACAUUGGUUCUAAAGGAUGUGCGGCAUGUACCUGAUACAGCAGCAUCUUACCAUGCCACACUGGUAAGAGAUCUUUUUUUGCAGAUAUGUAGCAGGUGAUUUCGGCACAGUGAGAAUGGGUAACACGAGUUACUCAAAGAUUGCUGGGAUUGGUGACAUUUGUAUAAAGACAAAUGUCAGAUGCACAUUGGUUCUAAAGGAUGUGCAGCAUGUACCUGAUUUGCGGAUGAACUUGAUAUCGGGGAUUGCUUUGGACCGAGAUG